UCGAGUUAGGUUAUAGUUUCUUUAGUCUCAGUACAUGAUGUAAAUAAAAAAUAACACAAUUAUCCUCAGCAAAGAAGGAGUAUGCCCGGGUAACCCUACCCCCCUUGCUACGUGGUCUGACGAGAGCCGCUAUCAUCUCCUUUAUAAGAAUGCCUCUCAAAACGGCAUUUGUCAACAACAAUCAAGCCGUUGAGAGGCAAGUGGCUCUUAUGUCAACCUGUGGUAAGAAGGUGGUAGGGGAGGAUAGGAAGUCUGGGCAACAAAUUGCUGUCGCAGAGCACAGACAGCAAACGAAAAAGCAGAAGAAGUGAAGACAAUAUUCCCGCAAGCAAGCACGUUCCUUCGUUCUGCUCUGAUCUCUACUCUGUUACUAACUGAUGAUGGACUUUGAUACGAUUCGUUGAUAUGAUUUUUUGACGUAUUGUAUACAGCUUGCACUUAACCAUAUGGUUCAGACAAAAGGACAAUUAAACUGGUGUUUUGUUUUUAACGGGUGAUACUCGUAAAAUAUUACCUUCGACGAGUUUAACUCGGCGCACGUCCUUGCAGGUUAUAAACCUACAA